CAUAGCUUUACCCAUUUUUAGCAGUGCUAAUGCUAAGGUCCAACUUGCUAGCAAGGAUAGCUUCCCUGAAGCUAACAUUGCUAAUGAACCGUAUAUCAUAGACGGUUGUGUUAAGGGAGAAGUUUAGCAUCCUACUUCAUUAAAACAGAUUACACACUUUUUGUUUUGUUUCUGUUUUUACUAUUAUUUCAAUAUUUUGCGCAUUAAUCCCAAACCAGUUCUUAUUUCUUUUUAACAAGAGGUACUAAAGCAGAUUAGCAAAACUACCUUAAUGAUGACUUAAAGUUAAACUAAUUUGGUUGAGUAAGUACAUGUCAAUAUUUGAGUUAUUUGUUUUUAGCUGGUAGUUAGAUAAGUUCGACAAAUAAAUUCAUAAAACCAUCCAAAUAAAAUGUUUGCAAAUCGCUCCAUCAAUUUGAUUGAUUUCUUUCUUCACUAUGGAGCAUGUAUUAGUUAAAUGUGAAUUAUCCAAUCAUUAUAUUUCAACAGCUAGAGACCAUAAAGUGGGAUCUUUCCCUUGCACGCAAUUAGGACUGUAGUAUGUCAGUUGUUAUAUCUACAUGAUGGAGACCCCCACCCCCCAUUCCAGACCUCCACCUUGGGGGCUGACAGUAUCUGACAGGCCUCCAGGCAUGCAGCCAGUCUGCGUUGUGGCCUAACACAAGAAUGAACAUGCUUACUACAUUCUGUAUCUUUAAUUUAGUCAGGAAGUUGUCAGUUGAUUUGUGUUGCCUGGAAAUAUGAUGACAGAUUUUCAUGAUCAGUAAAUUUGCAGGGUAAAAAUGCAUUUUUCUGUUUCUCACCAUUUAAAGCUGUUGUGGUUUAUAGUUUUGUGUUUCUCUGGGAAACUUAAAUGCCACAUACCCCCCAUAUCCCCAUUUAAACCCUGAUCUGUAAUUUCAUCCACAUUUGCUCUGGUUGGAGCAUUCCGGCUUUCAAAUCUGAAAGCCUGCAAUUACUAUAUAAUUCUUCGCAAUUUUAGAUGUCCUAAUAUGGGCUGUAAUUUUUUACACAAGACAAUUUCCCGCUAUUUCAAGCAUCAACAUUGUCAAAGUUGUAUGUACAUAAUAAAUGGGAAUAUCAAUGCAUAGUUUUUAGCCUAACAUCUUGACUCAACGAUAAUUAUAUCCGUGUGGAGCCUACGCGGAAUUAGCCUGAAUUGCAUGGUAACUGCUGCUUUAAAUUUUAAAAAAAUUACUCAUAAUUUCCCCCAAAGAUUACCAAGAUCUCGAGUGCACAAUGUCAUCAGCGUAAUGAGGAGUAAACAUUUAUGCUAAUAAUCUACAAUUUUUCCCCCUCGUCGCCUAUAAAAAGGGGAAAUAAAGCAGAGAUUUUCAGUCAUAUUCUGAACUCUGCAGCUAUAGCAUUGGACCGACACAUGGGACGCAUUUGGUGUGGAUUUAAAGCGCUGCUCUGGAGCCUGUGCUGCGGGGAAGCUUUAUGCUCAUCUGUAUCCAUGCGGAUUCUUGCAGUUGCAGAGAAGGGAGCUUCAGACUUAUACUGAAAGAUGAAAGUAAAGUUUGCAUCUCAUUUGUAAAUCGAGGUCCCAGAGUGUGGAGGAAGAGCGGAGAGACAGAAUCCACGUUGCUCCAAGUCCAGCGUGAAGUCUCCACGGCCAUCGAGGAUUUGGGGAGCCUUGCACUCUGCAGAUGUUGGUCCACUGAGUUUCAUCGAAUCCAAAGUCAGCCAACUAUCUGGAAAUGUUAAAGCGCUCCAUGCUGCUGCUGAGAAUCAUUAUAGAGAGGCUGGCUUCAUUUUUCCAACAGGACUUAGCACCUGCUGACGCUCCCGAGAAAUACCAAAACCUGCUUUAAUGGUUCUGGACCUCAUUAACACCCUGGCAGAGUCAAAGAGUGACCACCUCCAUGCCACAAUACAGUAAUCCAUGCAAAAGGCAUCCCAACCAACCAGAAAGUAUAUCAUGUGCAGGAACACUGACAUACUUUUUUUAACAGGCCAAUAUUCCCAUGUCAAAACAAAAUUACUUUUGUGUCGAUCUUAUAUAACAUUAUGUCAGCUGCGUGUGAUUACAGCUGUUCCUCUUUGCAGAAAAUUGAUUUAAUCAAUUCCCGCCGCACUGUGUAGGACACCAGGCGAGGUUUCACACAUUCACAUUUAACACUUAUAAGAGAGAAGAAGGAGAAGCUGUUAAGAUGGGAGCAUGCUGUCUUUUAGCAUGAUAAGCCACAGGGGGAGGCGAGGCUCACAUCUUGUCCUCUCCGUCCAAACGUGCGACCCGGGACAGCCCGUCACAAAGAUACGCUCAUUUACCGCCGCUUUGGCGCACGCUCAGACAAAGUUAGGACUGUUUUUUUUUUUUCUCCCUCACCAACCCCUUCCCAGCAGCUUAUGGACAUACAGGCCAGGCACAGGACAGACAUAAUGUCUAUAGAGUGCAUUUUGUUUGAAUUGCAGGUUGUCUCAUAGAAUUAAAUCCAAAUAUAACCCCGAAAUAUUUUACCCGAUGAGCAUAAACUAUAUUUUAAGAGUCAAAAUAUGUCAUUCGAGAUUGAUUGUGGACGUGAAAAGUCCCUCUCAAUGAGAUGAACCCGCUGUGUGGGCUGCGUUUUUAUUUUCAUUCCCAUCUUCCUCGAGAUCCACCUCCUUUGUAGCGCUCCAAAGUCACUUGUUUGACUGGUCAAUUGCUAUGUUUUCCCCCCUCGCAGCCAAACAAAGUCAAAUUGAUGUUUUCACAGCUCUGUCUUAUGUCAGUGCUUGAAGGAAUUAUUCAGUCUGCUUUUAUCAAAUGACGAGAACUUGAAAUAGGCUAAUGCAGAAAUGGGAGCGAUUCAGAGACAUUCCAGCCCCCUUUUUAAAUUUCUCCCAAAAGAAAACGAAAAGAAGAAAAAAAAACAUGCACUUUUUUUUUUGCCUCUUUUCUUUCUUGCGAAGAAUAAAAGGAGUGUUUUCAUA